rnacentral:rRNA from 1 species
UGAUCCUGGCUCAGAUUGAACGCUGGCGGCAGGCUUAACACAUGCAAGUCGAGCGGAGAGAGGUAGCUUGCUACUGAUCUUAGCGGCGGACGGGUGAGUAAUACUUAGGAAUCUGGCUAUUAGUGGGGGACAACAUUUCGAAAGGGAUGCUAAUACCGCAUACGUCCUACGGGAGAAAGCAGGGGAUCUUCGGACCUUGCGCUAAUAGAUGAGCCUAAGUCGGAUUAGCUAGUUGGUGGGGUAAAGGCCUACCAAGGCGACGAUCUGUAGCGGGUCUGAGAGGAUGAUCCGCCACACUGGGACUGAGACACGGCCCAGACUCCUACGGGAGGCAGCAGUGGGGAAUAUUGGACAAUGGGGGGAACCCUGAUCCAGUCAUGCCGCGUGUGUGAAGAAGGCCUUAUGGUUGUAAAGCACUUUAAGCGAGGAGGAGGGUACUGGUAUUAAUACUACCAGGUACUGGACGUUACUCGCAGAAUAAGCACCGGCUAACUCUGUGCCAGCAGCCGCGGUAAUACAGAGGGUGCGAGCGUUAAUCGGAUUUACUGGGCGUAA